rnacentral:rRNA from 1 species
UACGGAGGGUGCAAGCGUUGUUCGGAAUUACUGGGCGUAAAGCGCGUGCAGGCGCCGAUUAAGUCCGGUGUGAAAGCCCGGGGCUCACCCCCGGAAGUGCGCUGGAAACUGAUCGGCUAGAGUACGGGAGAGGGAAGCGGAAUUCCUGGUGUAGCGGUGAAAUGACGUAGAGUAUCAGGAGGAACACCGGCGGCGAAGGCGGCUUCCUGGACCGAUACUGACGCUGAGACGCGAAAGCGUGGGGAGCAAACAGG